AUUGAAACGGGGCGCAGCCUGACCGCCUGCCGCGUGAGUGAUGAAGGCCUUCGGGUUGUAAAGCUCUUUAGUCCACGAAUAUAAUGACUGUAGUGGAAGAAUAAGCCCCGGCUAACUUCGUGCCAGCAGCCGCGGUAAUACGAGGGGGGCGAGCGUUGUUCGGAAUCACUGGGCGUAAAGAGUGCGUAGGCGGUUAUGAAAGUUAGAAGUGAAAGCCCAGAGCUCAACUCUGGAAUUGCUUUUAAAACUACAUAACUCGAAUUCGGGAGAGGAUAGCGGAAUUGUCAGUGUAGCAGUGAAAUGCGUAGAUAUUGACAGGAAGACGGGGGGCGUAAGCGGCUAUCUGGACCGACAUUGACGCUGAGGCACGA
rnacentral:rRNA from 1 species